rnacentral:rRNA from 1 species
UACGUAGGGUGCAAGCGUUAUCCGGAAUUAUUGGGCGUAAAGAGCUCGUAGGCGGUUUGUCGCGUCUGCUGUGAAAACUGGAGGCUCAACCUCCAGCCUGCAGUGGGUACGGGCAAACUAGAGUGCGGUAGGGGAGACUGGAAUUCCUGGUGUAGCGGUGAAAUGCGCAGAUAUCAGGAGGAACACCGGUGGCGAAGGCAGCACUCUGGGACGUGACUGACGCUGAGACGCGAAAGCGUGGGGAGCAAACAGG